rnacentral:rRNA from 1 species
GGGUCAGUAGGUUGGUCGUGCCACCGGUACGUACUGGUCUCACUGAUUCCUCCUUCCUGAAGAACCGUAAUGCCAUUAAUUUGGUGGUGCGGGGAAACAGGACUGUUACUUUGACAAAAUUAGAGUGUUUAACGCAAGCUAACGCUUGAAUACAUUAGCAUGGAAUAAUGAAAUAGGACGAUCGAUCCUAUUUUGUUGGUUUCUAGGAUUGACGUA